CUAAGGGUCCCCCGUGCAUCAUAUGGGCAUUCUUGAGUGUGCAGAUUGCAUCAGACCUGCACCUGAAUAAUUAAUAGUGACUGAAAUAUGCAGACACUAAAGUUCUGCAGCCAAAUUCUCAGAAACCUUCCUCUUCAAUGUAAGAUCAGGAUUUUGGUUUAAAUUUAUUUUUAUUUAAAAAAAAUUGUUAAGCAGAUGCUACACUGUAAGAAGAGGAAAGAGAAUCAAAAACUGAAAGAUUGUUACUAAAACCAGUGAACAACUGCAGACAGUGGAGACCCGGCAAAGCAAACAAAUGAAUACUGAAAAAGAUCCCCAAAGGAGAUGUAAGGAUCCGGAACUCUAAUGUCUGCCAGAAACUUCAGCCACCUUCACAGGCUAGGGCUCACCGUCCAUUGUGGAGGUGAAGACCAGAUGAGAGCUGCUGGAUUGACCUUGAUGUGCCAUGUCCUUGUGUGGAUGAAGGACCUACAUCUCAGGGAUGGCCAGCAGCAGAUGUAACACAUGUGUCCAGGAAUGGGCUAAAUAACCUA